rnacentral:rRNA from 1 species
AAUCAACGCUGGCGGCGUGCCUAACACAUGCAAGUCGAACGAGAAAGUGGAGCAAUCCAUGAGUAAAGUGGCGACCGGGUGAGUAACACGUGACUAACCUACCUUCGAAUGGGGAAUAACUCCGGGAAAUCGGGGCUAAUACCGCAUAACACCGCAAGGUCAAAGCAGCAAUGCGUUUGAAGAGGGGGUCGCGGCUGAUU